UGAUGGUGAUGAGGACAAUUUCUGAGCAUGCCUUUGAAUCUCUCCCAAGCUUGGUAAAGAUUUUAUCCAUCUUUCUGUCUGAAACUAAAUAUCUCACUCCUCAAUCG
rfam:Capsicum annuum cultivar Zunla-1 chromosome 6, whole genome shotgun sequence